rnacentral:misc_RNA from 1 species
UUAAGUUCAGCGGGUAGUCCUACCUGAUUUGAGGUCAAAAUGUCAAUUAAGUGCUGUCCCUCUUGAAGGACGGUUAGAAGCUGAAGUCCCAUUCUAUAAGCUGCUUCACGGCUAUGGCGUAGAUAAUUAUCACACCAAAGACGGUCCACAAGGGUUUUCCGCUAAUGCAUUUAAAGGGAGCCGACUUGAAAGAAGCCCGC